rnacentral:rRNA from 1 species
GGGAGCUUGCUCCCGGAUGUUAGCGGCGGACGGGUGAGUAACACGUGGGUAACCUGCCUGUAAGACUGGGAUAACUCCGGGAAACCGGAGCUAAUACCGGAUAGUUCCUUGAACCGCAUGGUUCAAGGAUGAAAGACGGUUUCGGCUGUCACUUACAGAUGGACCCGCGGCGCAUUAGCUAGUUGGUGGGGUAAUGGCUCACCAAGGCGACGAUGCGUAGCCGACCUGAGAGGGUGAUCGGCCACACUGGGACUGAGACACGGCCCAGACUCCUACGGGAGGCAGCAGUAGGGAAUCUUCCGCAAUGGACGAAAGUCUGACGGAGCAACGCCGCGUGAGUGAUGAAGGUUUUCGGAUCGUAAAGCUCUGUUGUUAGGGAAGAACAAGUGCGAGAGUAACUGCUCGCACCUUGACGGUACCUAACCAGAAAGCCACGGCUAACUACGUGCCAGCAGCCGCGGUAAUACGUAGGUGGCAAGCGUUGUCCGGAAUUAUUGGGCGUAAAGGGCUCGCAGGCGGUUUCUUAAGUCUGAUGUGAAAGCCCCCGGCUCAACCGGGGAGGGUCAUUGGAAACUGGGAAACUUGAGUGCAGAAGAGGAGAGUGGAAUUCC